UCCUCAUCACCUAAAGAUACCAUUACUUCUUCAUUUCCUAUAUGACUUUUACUAGCAAAGGCGACCGUGGUGCAGCACAAGUCUGUAGAAAUUGCUUUAUCAGUGUUAUCACAACAAGAAAGACAAUUAUCCCCUCUGUUCUCAGCCUCAUUGCUGCAUAGCACGAUGUUAUUAGUUUCAUCCUCCACUGAAGAAGGAUUAGAAAGGUUGCUGCAAUUUGUUGGUGGACUUUGACUUCUUUCAACUUCUAAACUUUUCAUGUUCAGAUUAGAUAGUUCAUUUUCAGCUUUACUGGAGCAGAAUUGAACUUCAAACAUUCCCAGUUCUUUCUUGCUAUCAAGGGAAACAAUCUUGAGAACAUAAUCUGUAGCUGGCAUCAGAUCUGAGAGCACAAACCUAGUGUUUGGGGAAAACAAUGUUCGAGUUGGUUCUACUGGAUAUUCCGUUUCAACAGCUUUCCGAUGCCACAAGGAGUAACCAACAACAUUCUCCAUAGAUGACCCUUCAGAACUCAAAACAACGGUCACAGAUG
rnacentral:misc_RNA from 1 species